UUGAACAAGUAAAAAUACUGCAAACGGAAAACCAUUACCACAGAAGACUCACAUUAGAAAUGUUACACAUCAACAAUCUACACACAACAGAGAGAAUAAAUUUUAAGAGCGACACAGAUAACGCAGCUUAUUGCUAUAGGCAUUUGACACAAAAGAAGAGAUCGUGCAAUAUGUAAACAAAAUCAGUGCAAUAUUAACAGCCGACGAUGAUAGUGCAUUCUAUCGUAGUUAUUAAGUUAACUUGACGAUUAUUGUUUACAAAUCCCCUGAAGAUGCAAUUUAUACAAUUGCGAAAUAUCGGAGAUCAAAAAUGAAAUAAAAUAAAAAACUGGCCUAAAGCUCAAAAAAACUCA